rnacentral:sRNA from 1 species
UUUUUUUUUGGUUUUUGUUCUUCUUCCGGAUUCGAGU